CAAUAGCGUAUAUUAAAGUUGUUGCAGUUAAAAAGCUCGUAGUUGGAUUUCUGGCAGGGGCGACCGGUCACACACUCUGUGUGUGAACUUGCGUUGUCUCUGGCCAUCCUUGGGAAGAUCCUGUUUGGCAUUAAGUUGUCGGGCAGGGGAUACCCAUCGUUUACUGUGAAAAAAUUAGAGUGUUUAAAGCAGGCUUAUGCCGUUGAGUAUAUUAGCAUGGAAUAAUAAGAUAGGACUUCGGAACUAUUUUGUUGGUUUGCGUUACGAAGUAAUGAUUAAUAGGGACAGUUGGGGGUAUUCGUAUUUCGUUGUCAGAGGUGAAAUUCUUGGAUUUCCGAAAGACGAACUACUGCGAAAGCAUUUACCAAGGAUGUUUUCAUUAA
rnacentral:rRNA from 1 species